rnacentral:rRNA from 1 species
CGGGGGGAGCAAGCGUUGUUCGGAUUUACUGGGCGUAAAGGGCGCGUAGGCGGUCAGCACAAGUCAGUUGUGAAAUCUCCGGGCUUAACUCGGAAAGGUCAACUGAUACUGUGCGACUAGAGUGCAGAAGGGGCAACCGGAAUUCUCGGUGUAGCGGUGAAAUGCGUAGAUAUCGAGAGGAACACCUGCGGCGAAGGCGGGUUGCUGGGCUGACACUGACGCUGAUGCGCGAAAGCCAGGGAGCGAACGGGAUUAGAUACCCGGUAGUCCUGGCCUUAAACGAUGGAUGCUUGGUGUCUGGAGUUUUAUAGUCUCCGGGUGCCGUAGCUAACGCGUUAAGCAUCCCGCCUGGGAGUACGGUCGCAAGACUG